CUGGGUUGUCAUUUAUCGAAUCACAUAGGACAUUUCUCUUCUUUUACUAGAAGCGGUAGAUUCUUUAUUGAUCAUACAUUAUCUCCAUGUAUAACUUAUUAUACCCAACCAUACCCUUUGAUAUACCCUAAGGGUCUUAAGGAAUAAGUCAAAGUAUAACUCAUCAUACACAAGAUACUAUGAUGAUCUCAAGUCCAAGGAUCACUUGUACUACUAUCACUACAGGAAUUCAUAUUGACA
rnacentral:lncRNA from 1 species